CCUACGGGUCGCACCAGUGGGGAAUAUUGCACAAUGGGCGCAAGCCUGAUGCAGCCAUGCCGCGUGUAUGAAGAAGGCCUUCGGGUUGUAAAGUACUUUCAGCGGGGAGGAAGGCGAUAAGGUUAAUAGCCUUGUCGAUUGACGUUACCCGCAGAAGAAGCACCGGCUAACUCCGUGCCAGCAGCCGCGGUAAUACGGAGGGUGCAAGCGUUAAUCGGAAUUACUGGGCGUAAAGCGCACGCAGGCGGUCUGUCAAGUCGGAUGUGAAAUCCCCGGGCUCAACCUGGGAACUGCAUUCGAAACUGGCAGGCUAGAGUCUUGUAGAGGGGGGUAGAAUUCCAGGUGUAGCGGUGAAAUGCGUAGAGAUCUGGAGGAAUACCGGUGGCGAAGGCGGCCCCCUGGACAAAGACUGACGCUUAGGUGCGAAAGCGUGGGGAGCAAACAGGAUUAGAUACCCCAGUAGUC
rnacentral:rRNA from 1 species